AGGGGAACCUGAUCCUUCAUGCCGCGUGUGUGAAGAAGGCCUUAUGGUUGUAAAGCACUUUAAGCGAGGAGGAGGUACUUUAGUUAAUACCUAGAGAUAGUGGACGUUACUCGCAGAAUAAGCACCGGCUAACUCUGUGCCAGCAGCCGCGGUAAUACAGAGGGUGCAAGCGUUAAUCGGAUUUACUGGGCGUAAAGCGCGCGUAGGCGGCUAAUUAAGUCAAAUGUGAAAUCCCCGAGCUUAACUUGGGAAUUGCAUUCGAUACUGGUUAGCUAGAGUGUGGGAGAGGAUGGUAGAAUUCCAGGUGUAGCGGUGAAAUGCGUAGAGAUCUGGAGGAAUACCGAUGGCGAAGGCAGCCAUCUGGCCUAACACUGACGCUGAGGUGCGAAAGCAUGGGGAGCAAACAGGAUUAGAUACCCUGGUAGUCCAUGCCGUAAACGAUGUCUACUAGCCGUUGGGGCCUUUGAGGCUUUAGUGGCGCAGCUAACGCGAUAAGUAGAC
rnacentral:rRNA from 1 species